GAUGAACGCUGACAGAAUGCUUAACACAUGCAAGUCUACUUGAACUUCGGUUUGGGUGGCGGACGGGUGAGUAACGCGUAAAGAACUUGCCUCACAGUUAGGGACAACAUUUGGAAACGAAUGCUAAUACCUGAUAUUAUGAUUUUAGGGCAUCCUAAGAUUAUGAAAGCUAUAUGCGCUGUGAGAGAGCUUUGCGUCCCAUUAGCUAGUUGGAGAGGUAACGGCUCACCAAGGCGAUGAUGGGUAGCCGGCCUGAGAGGGUGAACGGCCACAAGGGGACUGAGACACGGCCCUUACUCCUACGGGAGGCAGCAGUGGGGAAUAUUGGACAAUGGACCAAAAGUCUGAUCCAGCAAUUCUGUGUGCACGAUGACGUUUUUCGGAAUGUAAAGUGCUUUCAGUUGGGAAGAAAAAAAUGACGGUACCAACAGAAGAAGUGACGGCUAAAUAC
rnacentral:rRNA from 1 species